CCUACGGGUGGCAGCAGUCGAGAAUCAUUCACAAUGGGGGAAACCCUGAUGGUGCGACGCCGCGUGGGGGAAUGAAGGUCUUCGGAUUGUAAACCCCUGUCAUGUGGGAGCAAAUUAAAAAGAUAGUACCACAAGAGGAAGAGACGGCUAACUCUGUGCCAGCAGCCGCGGUAAUACAGAGGUCUCAAGCGUUGUUCGGAAUCACUGGGCGUAAAGGGUGCGUAGGCUAUUUCGUAAGUCGUGUGUGAAAGGCGCGGGCUCAACCCGCGGACGGCACAUGAUACUGCGAGACUAGAGUAAUGGAGGGGGAACCGGAAUUCUCGGUGUAGCAGUGAAAUGCGUAGAUAUCGAGAGGAACACUCGUGGCGAAGGCGGGUUCCUGGACAUUAACUGACGCUGAGGCACGAAGGCCAGGGGAGCGAAAGGGAUUAGAUACCCCAGUAGUC
rnacentral:rRNA from 1 species